UACAGAGGGGGCAAGCGUUGCUCGGAAUUACUGGGCGUAAAGGGCGCGUAGGCGGGAUGGCAAGUCGGUCGUGAAAUCCCUCGGCUCAACUGAGGAUCGUCGAUCGAUACUGCCGUUCUUGAGGAUUGCAGAGGAGACUGGAAUUCCCGGUGUAGCGGUGAAAUGUGUAGAGAUCGGGAGGAACACCGGUGGCGAAGGCGGGUCUCUGGGCAAUUCCUGACGCUGAGGCGCGAAAGCGUGGGGAGCAAACGGG
rnacentral:rRNA from 1 species